GAAAAAGAAUAAAGAUAUUGAUUCUAAUUAUCAUCAUAUCCUAAAAAAGUGUAAGUAAUACCCAUGAAUGAGAGGCUAAAAAUGCUUAGAAAAACACCAGCCCCACAUAAGUCGUCAGUGUUUCUUUAUCCAAAGUCCAACAGCAAUAGAAAGGAAAAUACUAUUUAAAUUAACUGUAAGCAAUUGAAAAUACCUAGGGUUGUGCAGGUGGAAAAUUUGCCACACCUGAGCUACAUUCCCAGCAUCCUUUUAGGUUAUGUCCUCAUUUUACGUAGGGGGGUGGGGCUUGGAAGAUAAAUGUGGCUGAGACCCACUCUCUGGGGGUCUUUCUCAGCUUGUGCUUUUGGUAAAGUGCUGCAGGUGUGAGUCUCUGGUUCUGUUUUCUCUGCUCACUUGACUGAAAGAUCCCAUUUUCUUUUCCUUCUCUUUUUAUUAUUAUUAAAUUCCUACAAUUUUUGGCAACCACCAGGGGAUUUCAGAACUAGAGGAAUCAGAGUUCCCUCUCCCCUUUUCCUUCUCUCUUCUGCCUCUGGGAAACCUUUCAAAGCUUUCUCAGGCUCAUUGCCUACACCUGCCCACCAGGAGAGCCCUGUAGCCUGGUCUCUUCCCUCACUGAGGCUGUUCCUGCUCACUCCUUCUGCUGCUCCUGCUGCUUGCUGUUGCUGCUACUGUUUCUGAGGUGCAUUCUUUCCCAAGAUUGGGGCAACGUGUCAUUGAAGGAAAAACUGUUCAGGCCUCACAUGGUAGAGGCGGGCGUACGGAAGGAUCAAGGAUCAGAACAGAAAUGUUAUCGGCUAGACUUUCACUGUGAAGAAGAUGAGAAUGAAUGUGACCUCUCCCUGGGACAGAUGACAGAUUGUCAAUGAUUUUCUUUGGAUUGGUGGCCACGUUUUGGCAGCUCAGGGAUCUUUUGGAGGUCCAAGACUGAAAAUAAUACCGAAACAGGUCAUACACGUGUUAUCAUACAAUAUAUAUUUCCAAGUUCAUCACAUCGUGAAAGAAGACACAUAUCACUUACAAUAGAGAAAAAUUCACGAAGGAACAAAAAUGAAGAAUGGGAAAAUCAUCUUUCCUUGAAGAAGACGCUGAAACUUUGUGUAACUAUAAUGACCAAAUUGACCUUGGAGAGACAUGAGGAAGUGGACCUUCUCCUUGAAAACUGGAGGAUUACAGUUCUUUCUCUGGAUGUGGAACUUCUUUCUCUUAAGUUCCUCUGGAUUGUCCUGGAUCAUUGCGUUGCUGCUAGUAGAGAAGUCUCCAUUCUUCCUUAAAGGUAAUGAUGCUGCUUCUCUACUCCCAUUUUUUCUUUCAUUCUCCUUUUAAAUUUUCCUUCAUAUCUUUCAAAAUAGAUUC
ensembl:lncRNA